AACGAACGCUGGCGGCAGGCCUAACACAUGCAAGUCGAGCGAGGACUUCGGUCCUAGCGGCGGACGGGUGAGUAACGCGUGGGAACGUGCCCUUUGCUUCGGAAUAGCCCUGGGAAACUGGGAGUAAUACCGGAUGAGCCCUUUGGGGGAAAGAUUUAUCGGCGAAGGAUCGGCCCGCGUUGGAUUAGGUAGUUGGUGGGGUAAUGGCCUACCAAGCCGACGAUCCAUAGCUGGUUUGAGAGGAUGAUCAGCCACACUGGGACUGAGACACGGCCCAGACUCCUACGGGAGGCAGCAGUGGGGAAUCUUAGACAAUGGGGGAAACCCUGAUCUAGCCAUGCCGCGUGAGCGAUGAAGGCCUUAGGGUUGUAAAGCUCUCUCAGCUGGGAAGAUAAUGACGGUACCAGCAGAAGAAGCCCCGGCUAACUCCGUG
rnacentral:rRNA from 1 species